rnacentral:rRNA from 2 species
UGUGCCUACAAUCCGUCAGAGCCCUUUCGUGGGGUGAUGGCGUGCCUUUUGAAGAAUGAGCCUGCGAGUCAGGGACAUGUCGCGAGGUUAACCCGUGCGGGGUAGCCGCAGCGAAAGCGAGUCUGAAUAGGGCGUAUCGCGCGCGAGCGUGUGUAGUGGCGUGUUCUGGACCCGAAGCGGAGUGAUCUACCCAUGGCCAGGGUGAAGCGCGGGUAAGACCGCGUGGAGG